rnacentral:lncRNA from 1 species
GGUGUGGCCUCCUGGGCCAGGACUGCCUGGCUCUCUGUUGAGAGAAGGAGGGAACUGGACUUAAGGAUGCCUCUGCUGCCUGUCCUGGUCCACAGAGUUCCAGGGCCACAGUGCUCUGUCCCCGAAGACAGCAGGAGGAAGGGAUCACAGUGGAGAGCUAUCACCCUGACACCACGAGGGAUUGAGGUAACGGGUACUCCAAACGAGCCAAUCUCAGAGUCAGGGCAAAUAAGAGCAGAGUCUUCGAAGACUAGGACUGAAUAAAUCUCCCACCCCGAGAGAAUCAGCACCCUGAGACAAGGCAAUCGGUUCCAAAGCAUCUCCAAAGCACCACCUGGAGCAAAGAUUUCAGCCCAUGAACCUUAGGAUAUAUAUAUUCCAACAUUCACCUACAGCAGUGGUCUUGGUCUUAUUAAUCAGGAAUGUUCUCCAGAGACCCUGCUGGAGGCUGGCAUGUCGGCUACAAGCCUGUCUUCAGCAGCAGGGGACUGAUUUCUCUGCAGAAAGCUUGCAGAAGCCCUACUCUGCAAAUGCGUCAGCCGCCAUUCCAUGAUCCUGCCUUGGGAGGUCUGUGAGGGCCCAGCCCACUUCCCACCGGAAGUUCUGAAGUUCUGGAUCAGGGUGCUGGUAGGGUUGGGCCUCUUGAGGGCUGAGAGAGAAUGUUGUGGCAUAUGCUAGCAAGAUGGCUCAGUGACUAAGGCUUGCCACUAAUCCUGACAAUUGAAGUUAGAUCCCUGGGACUCACAUGGUAAAAUGACAGAAUGCCAGGUGUGUCAUGGCAUACAUACUCACACACAUGCACUCACAUACACACAUGCAAAUAAAUGUGAAAAAAAUGUUAAAGAUGCCUUUAGCUCCUGGGCUUGGUAGUUGUGAUGACUAUUCUUGGUUGUCAGCUUAACUACAUCUGGAAUUAACUAAAACCCCCAAAUAGAGGGAACACCCAUGAGGAAUUUCUGCUUAACUUGAAGUGAGAAGAUCUACUUCUAGUCUGGAUCUUUAAAGUAAAAAGACACAACUUUAAUCCAGAUCUUUAAUCUAGAUCUAAUCUGGGCCAUGACUUCUUCUGGAAACCUGUAUAAAAACGUGGAAGAAGGAAGCUUUUGUUCUUUGCCUGCUUGCCCUUGCCUGGCUAACAAGUCCAUUCCUUCACUGGCAUUACAGCUUACUUCUUCAGGAUUCCAGCAUCUACUGAAGACCAGCUGAGACAUCCGGUCUUGUGGACUUAGAAUCAUCUGGAAUUUUCGACUUUCUGUUCAUAGCCCACCAUUGUUGGUCUAGGUGG